GGUCAUUCCUGGGAUGGCUCAGUUGGUAGAGCAUGAGACUCUUAAUCUCAGGGUUGUGAGUUUGAAUCCCACAUUGAGCA